UUUUCUAAAAGCAAACCAACCCUCGCCUAAUCGUAACUUGUUUACCUUCCUUUUCUCUCUCCUCUUCCUCACCUUAAUUAAAUAGGUCUUCGGUCUUCCCCUUCCUUUCUCUCUUUCACUUUCUUCCUCCAUUGAAGCUAUCCAAGGAAGAAAUUGCCACCAACCAUCGAUCGUCCAAUUUUUAGGGUCGCCACAACCGACGUUCGUCGUUCGAUACAUAUAAUUUGGGAAUACGACUGUCGUUUAGUUGACAGCGUUCGUGGUCGCGCCGUACAACAAACACGCAAAGGCAAAACAAGGUCGUCUGUUGAUCGGUGCGACUCACCACCCUCCAUUCUCGUUGUUCUAUUAUGGAUUAUCUUUGGCUCUUAGUUGUUAAUCUAUGAACUAUCUCUUUAAAAGGUUUCCCCACUUUCUUUCUCCUAGGAUUUCAUUUUUUUCGUCAAAUAUUCAUUGAAAUGUUCUUAAUUCUGGUUUUGGUAGAAAGUUCAUGAUCGUAAAGUAGGAUCGGAGAUCUAUUUAGUGGUGAUAUGAAGAGGUUUAUUGCAAUUGUAGUUGUGAUUAUGCAGAUUUUUUAAUGAAGCAAUCGUAAUCAUUUGAAGUUGAAAUCAAUGGAGAAAUUAAUACAAGCAAUUCAAGUUUAAGAGAGAUGCAGGUGAUGAGGAGGGGAGAAGAGGGGCAACUGUUAAUAUCAAAUAUCUGACCAGUAGUAAACUGAUUGGUUUGGAGGCUGAUGAGCAUUUUAAGAAGCCAGAUCAAGGAAGUUGAUGUAUGGAGGGCUAAAGAAAUUACCAAGCAAGGAUAUGUUGGGUUCACUUUUGAAUAAAAUGAGAGUUGUUGGUUAUGGUGUACUCGUAAAUUAUUCCAAUAAGUUCUUAUAUAAGUACUUGUAAAUUAUUUCAACAAUUUUUUUUAUAUACAUGUAAAUUUUUUUUUGAAAGAUAUAUACAUGUAAAUUUUAAUAA